CCAUAGAGUUUGAUCCUGGCUCAGGACGAACGCUGGCGGCGUGCCUAAUACAUGCAAGUCGAGCGGAUCGAUGGGAGCUUGCUCCCUGAGAUCAGCGGCGGACGGGUGAGUAACACGUGGGUAACCUGCCUGUAAGACUGGGAUAACUCCGGGAAACCGGGGCUAAUACCGGAUAACACCUACCCCCGCAUGGGGGAAGGUUGAAAGGUGGCUUCGGCUAUCACUUACAGAUGGACCCGCGGCGCAUUAGCUAGUUGGUGAGGUAACGGCUCACCAAGGCGACGAUGCGUAGCCGACCUGAGAGGGUGAUCGGCCACACUGGGACUGAGACACGGCCCAGACUCCUACGGGAGGCAGCAGUAGGGAAUCUUCCGCAAUGGACGAAAGUCUGACGGAGCAACGCCGCGUGAGUGAAGAAGGUUUUCGGAUCGUAAAACUCUGUUGUUAGGGAAGAACCAAGU
rnacentral:rRNA from 1 species